UGGGGGACUUAACUUGCUGGCCACUACCAGGGAUGCUACUGGUUUUCAACCUGAAAAGACGUGUUUGCUGAAAAGAAGUAUUUUAACUCAAAUAAAA